CCUACGGGUGGCAGCAGUGAGGAAUAUUGGUCAAUGGACGAGAGUCUGAACCAGCCAAGUAGCGUGAAGGAUGACUGCCCUAUGGGUUGUAAACUUCUUUUAUAUGGGAAUAAAAUGUUCCACGUGUGGGAUUUUGUAUGUACCAUAUGAAUAAGGCUCGGCUAACUCCGUGCCAGCAGCCGCGGUAAUACGGAGGAUCCGAGCGUUAUCCGGAUUUAUUGGGUUUAAAGGGAGCGUAGGUGGAUUGUUAAGUCAGUUGUGAAAGUUUGCGGCUCAACCGUAAAAGUGCAGUUGAAACUGGCAGUCUUGAGUACAGUAGAGGUGGGCGGAAUUCGUGGUGUAGCGGUGAAAUGCUUAGAUAUCACGAAGAACUCCGAUUGCGAAGGCAGUUCACUGGACUGCAACUGACACUGAGGCUCGAAAGUGUGGGUAUCAAACAGGAUUAGAUACCCUAGUAGUC
rnacentral:rRNA from 1 species